UACGGAGAGUGCAAGCGUUGUUCGGAAUCAUUGGGCGUAAAGGGCGUCUAGGUGGCUUGCCAAGUCAGGUGUGAAAUCCCUCGGCUCAACCGAGGACGUGCACUUGAAACUGGUAGGCUUGAGUCUUGGAGGGGGCAGCGGAAUUCCCGGUGUAGAGGUGAAAUUCGUAGAUAUCGGGAGGAACACCAGUGGCGAAGGCGGCUGCCUGGCCAAAGACUGACACUGAAGCGCGAAAGCGUGGGGAGCAAACAGG
rnacentral:rRNA from 1 species